GUCCAGGACCUGACUGAGGUCGGGCUUUGCUCCGUCAGCUGUUUCAGCUGCCACCUCAGUGAGGGAUUUAUAAAUAUUUGUUGCUCUUCCCCCGACCCCAGGCACACCGUGUGCUCGCUCCCUGGGAAGCAAGAUUGUUUGGCCAUUUCACAGAGAGGGAGCCUCAGGCCCUGGGGACGGGAGACUCAGUCAUGAGGGAAGGCCUGAGGAGGAGCAGGAGUACAGUGAAGACCUCUGGCUUUUCCCAUUCUCCAGAUGAAGCCUCUGCAGGCAAAACCAAGUGAGCCUCCAGUAUCUUCUGCUGACAAAACACAUCAUCAAGCCAGCUGGCACAGGAGAAAUAUCAUCUUCAGAGUCCAGUUCCAGAAUCACCAAGCAGAGCAAAGCAAUCACGAAGGUAGUAAAUGUACAACUGGAACGAAAGUGAACAGCACUGGGUCUCGCCUUGACACCCCCGCCCUCCAGAAGAGGGGUCAUGCCCAGGCACUGGAGAGACUCUGGUGUGGAUUUCCAGAAUCCCUUUUGGACACAUGUCUGCCUGUUCCUUUUUGACAAAGCUCCGCUUUCCAGAGAUUAAUUGUUGUCAAACGCAACUUAUUUUCUAAUCCUUUCAGGCUCUGCUUAAAACCUUCUGCUUUAUUUUACUUCUUUUGAUAAAGUCGCUGAGAUUUUUUUUUCUUUUUCUUUCUUUCUUUUUUUUUUUUUUUUUAUGGAUUUGCCAAUGAUUGUCCAGUUUGACAAAUUGGAUUCCUAAAGCUGAUUCUUUGAAGAAAAGGAUGCAGUGUGACAAGACAAGAAACAGCUCAUCCUCAAAUCGGGAGGAUAAAUAAAAAAAUAGAAGCAACCCCAUUCUCCGGCUUCCCUGCGACUCAAAGGGUGUCUCAGUUGUCACUGAUAAUCUAAUCUUCUGAUGAUAGGUGAGAAACAGGACAAUGGCGACCCAGCCAGGCUGCGGGUGUGAUAGGCCUCUGAUUAAUAGGACUGUCCAAGGAGGCCCCAGCCCCCGGGAAGAUGAUUAAUGACAUUUGAUGUGAACUCUGACCUCCCCCGGCAAGCACAGAGGGAGAAAAGGCGGCUGCUCAGACAGGAUGUGCGUCCUGCAGAAGGUGAUUGAUUCCUGAAGGCUUUGUGACUCUGAGGGUGCGUGGGGGGCCCCUCGUGGCCCCUUCCUGGGCUCUGACAAAACACCCUACCCUGGCAGGGGUCUGCAGACUGGAAGGAAAUUUGUGAGGAAAGCACAGCCCUGGAUGAUAACUCUUCUUCGGGGAGGAGCACAUUCAGAGCACGUGCACGUUGGGUUGUCCCAGCUGAGGACUCUACGAAGGUUCCAGAGGUCUGGGGUCUUCUACGGACAGAGUGCUCGUUCGUUCUCCCUCAACCUUGCUGAAGCUCUUGUGGGAGCGGCCCUCCCUGGCCGGUUCUGGGGAGCAAUGAACCAAAAGCUCCUUAAAAAGCACCAGAGAGAUUGAAAGAUUGCCAUUCCUUCUUAACUGUUGCUACUUUGCUUUCACAGUUCGGGUUAUGACCUCCACCAUUCCCUCUGGGGAACAGAGAGACUCCAAAUCAGAGAGAAAGAGGCACAAAUAGAAAGACACAAAAAUGACAGAAACCAGAAGACAGACCCACAUUCUUUCUUUCAGUGACUCAAAAAAAGGACUCAUGGAGAACCUACUAUGUGCGGGACUGCACACCCACCCUUAAUGGAUACACCACAAGACGUCCACACCAGCUCCACAGACCCUCCGCGGGAUUUUGGGCAAGAGAAUAAAGAGCAUGCUGUUCCCUCUCAGGCCAGUAGGUGGCGCCAUGUCAGAGGGAAAAUUAGGGGAGUCGCUGGAUUUGAUAGCCACCUAUGGACAUAAAUUCAAUUUCAUCUAGUUCUCUGAGUGCCACUAUGUGCAGGGCAACAGGCAGGACACUCGAGGGUACAUAGGAUGAGAAAUGCAGGGAGCCUGGUGGCUCAGUUAAGCGACUGCCUUAGGCUCAUUUCGUGAUUCUGGUGUUCUAGGAUU